rnacentral:rRNA from 1 species
CCAAUAGCGUAUAUUAAAGUUGUUGCAGUUAAAAAGCUCGUAGUUGAAUUUCGGGAUCAGUAGGUUGGUCGUGCCACUGGUAUGUACUGGCCUUACUGGUUCCUCCUUCUUGUAGAACCGUAAUGCCAUUAAGUUGGUGUUGCGGGGAAACAGGACGGUUACUUUGAAAAAAUUAGAGUGUUUAAAGCAGGCUAACGCUUGAAUCCAUUAGCAUGGAAUAAUGAAAUAGGACGAUCGAUCCUAUUUUGUUGGUUUCUAGGAUUGACGUAAUGAUUAAUAGGGAUAGUUGGGGGCAUUAGUAUUCAAUUGUCAGAGGUGAAAUUCUUGGAUUUAUUGAAGACUGACUACUGCGAAAGCAUUUGCCAAGGAUUUUUUCAUUAAUCAAGAACGAAAGUUAGGGGAUCGAAGACGAUCAGAUACCGUCGUAGUCUUAACCAUAAACUAUGCCGACUAGGGAUCGGAUGAUGUUAAUUUUUUAAUGACUCAUUCGGCGCCUUACG